UGCAUCUAAUUUUCUUUUCCAAAACCCUAAAGAGCAUUCUUCUCCUUAUUCCUUUAUCUCCGUUCUCCAUUCAGGUCCAAAGCAUCUGCAAUUCGAACGAUUCAAGAGAUUCAAUCAGUUUCCGUUUCAAAAGGGAUCUUAUACAAAUACACCUAAUGAUUUUCUAAACCGUAGAUAUCCCUUUGUCUUCAUACUGAUUUAAGCGUCUGCAAUACAAACGAUUCAAGUGAAAAGAUGUAGAAAAAGGUGAGUUCUUGAUGCGAAGCCGCUUGACGCGUUGGUAUUUUUUUCAAGGAAAUGCAAUCUGUUCUUGAGCUCUUGAAGAUCUGUAAGUUGCCUGAGACAAGGAAAGGGGAAGGCUGAGGUGGUAGGGCGUAUAUCAAAUCAAAUGGAUCAAAAAAUGUAAACAGUUAAUGCUAUUAAAAACAGGCGAACAAGCGAACAAGCCAGGAAUAAGAAGCAAGCUGAAAAGAAUGCAGCCAUCAAACACAAAGUUCAUCUUUACAAAAAAGGAUACUUGAGAAGCAAGAACAUAUUACUGUUGACGCGUUUUACAACAGUUUAGGUUAAAGGGACAUAUGUCCACCAUGUGAUUGUCUCGCGGUUUAGAUUGAGGAAAAAAAUCGCUCCCUUUUGAUUCAACGUAUGUAUUUUUCUAUACCUAUGUAAUUAACACUUUUAGUACAUAUUUGUUUAAUUUUUCCAUUUAAACUUGAUUAGUGACAAGCUGUUCAAGGGACCAGGAUCUUAACUUUGAAGUUAUUUAGGUUUAUCUUGCUUUUGUAUGUCACUUUGUUUCGUAUUUAUUUUAUGUAUACACGAAUGAUCGAUUUGUUUG